GGCACUUUGGCGGAGUGGUUAACGCGAUGCCCUGCUACUUAUUAAAGUUAGUGUGAGGCAUUCCCUUCGGGGGCGUGUGUUCGAAUCACACAGGUGUCG